rnacentral:rRNA from 1 species
UACGAAGGGGGGCUAGCGUUGCUCGGAAUACUGGGCGUAAAGCGUGCGCAGGCGGUUGUGCAAGACAGAUGUGAAAGCCCCGGGCUUAACCUGGGAACGGCAUUUGUGACUGCACGGCUAGAGUGUGUCAGAGGGGGGUAGAAUUCCACGUGUAGCAGUGAAAUGCGUAGAGAUGUGGAGGAAUACCGAUGGCGAAGGCAGCCCCCUGGGAUAACACUGACGCUCAUGCACGAAAGCGUGGGGAGCAAACAGG